CAUUAUUAGUCUGGAAAUUAAUUGGUGGUAACUAUGCUUGAUUUCUCAGAGAUUAGAAGACUUGGCUCCUUGAUUUGGAAGCAGCGCUCGCUGCGACUUUGUUCUUUGGAAAUAGACAAGGUCUCAUUCCAGGAGGAUUUUCACAUUGAAGAUGAAUGGACACCAACUAGGGACACUGAGAACAAGGGCCUCAUGAUAUAAUGUUUGGCUGUCUCUUGAUGGGGAGGGCAAAUGUGCUCUUGUGGUCAAGUACGGGAGAGGUGGGUUCUGUCAUGUGGAGGUUUCUUUGAAAUUGUGCAUUUCACUCAUGGAGCAAAUGGUGCCAUUAUAAGCUCAGCACUGAGGUAUGUAAAUGUGGCAUUAAAACCUUCUUGAAGUAUCUGCUGUCUCAUCAUGUACGUGCUUCAAAGUGAUGCUAGUGCGUUAUAAUAAAGUAUACUUUUGAUGACAUA